GACGAACGCUGGCGGCGUGCUUAACACAUGCAAGUCGAGCGGUAAGGCCCUUUCGGGGGUACGACGAGCGGCGAACGGGUGAGUAACACGUGGGUGACCUGCCCUCAGCUCUGGGAUAAGCCCGGGAAACUAGGGUCUAAUACCGGAUAUGACUCCAUGACGCAUGUUGUGGGGUGGAAAGCCUUGUGCGGCUGAGGAUGGGCCCGCGGCCUAUCAGCUUGUUGGUGGGGUGAUGGCCUACCAAGGCGACGACGGGUAGCCGGCCUGAGAGGGCGACCGGCCACACUGGGACUGAGACACGGCCCAGACUCCUACGGGAGGCAGCAGUGGGGAAUCUUGCGCAAUGGGCGAAAGCCUGACGCAGCGACGCCGCGUGAGGGAUGACGGCCU
rnacentral:rRNA from 1 species